rnacentral:rRNA from 1 species
UACGUAGGCAGCAAGCGUUGUUCGGAAUUACUGGGCGUAAAGGGUGCGUAGGCGGUUUGCUAAGUCUGUUGUGAAAUCCCCGGGCUCAACCUGGGAACUGCAUCUGUGACUGCAUAGCUAGAGUACGGUAGAGGGGGAUGGAAUUCCGCGUGUAGCAGUGAAAUGCGUAGAUAUGCGGAGGAACACCGAUGGCGAAGGCAAUCCCCUGGACCUGUACUGACGCUCAUGCACGAAAGCGUGGGGAGCAAACAGG